rnacentral:rRNA from 1 species
AGCUCCAAUAGCGUAUAUUAAAGUUGUUGCAGUUAAAAAGCUCGUAGUUGGAUUUGUGGUUGUCUGUUGCUGAUCUUCACAUUGUGUUGAUUUGGUGUACAGUCGCCAUCCUUGGGUGGAUCUUGUGUGGCAUUAGGUUGUCGUGCAGGGGAUGCCCAUCGUUUACUGUGAAAAAAUUAGAGUGUUCAAAGCAGGCUUAUGCCGUUGAAUAUAUUAGCAUGGAAUAAUAAGAUAGGACCUUGGUACUAUUUUGUUGGUUUGCGCACCAAGGUAAUGAUUAAUAGGGACAGUUGGGGGUAUUCGUAUUCCAUUGUCAGAGGUGAAAUUCUUGGAUUUUUGGAAGACGAACUACUGCGAAAGCAUUUACCAAGGAUGUUUUCAUUAAUCAAGAACGAAAGUA